rnacentral:tRNA from 1 species
GGCCCUAUGGUCAAGAGGUUAAGACGCUGCCCUCUCAAGGCGGAGGCAGGGGUUCAAUUCCCCUUAGGGCUACCA